AAUCUAAACAGCUAGCCUAAACAACAACAUCAACAAACAGCAUAAAUAAACCCAAACACCCUAAAAAAAGUAAACAAAACAUUUUUCCCUCAAAGUAUGGGAGACAAAAAAGAGACUACUGAGCCAUAAAAAGUACCGCAAGGGAAAGCUGAAAGAGAAAUGAAAAAACCCAGUAAAGAAAAAAAAAGCAAAGAUUAUACCUUGUACCUUUUGCAUCAUGACUUAGCCAGCACCUUUCAGGCAAAGAGCCCUUUAGUCUGAGCCCCCGAAACUAGACGAGCUACUUCAAGACAGCCCAUGGGGCCAACCCAUCUCUGUGGCAAAAGAGUGGGAAGAUCUUCAAGUAGUGGUGAUAAGCCUACCGAGCCUAGUGAUAGCUGGUUGCCUAUAAAAAGAAUAGAAGUUCUGCCUUUGCCUUUCUUUCCUCUCUAAAAGAAAACUAAAAUGGGACCUAAAGAUAAAAGCAAAGAGUUAGUCAAGAGAGGUACAGCUCUCUUGAAAAAAAUACAAUUUUUUAGAAGGCUAAAGAUUCUAUAAAAUAAAACCUUAUACUUCAGUGGGCCUAAAAGCAGCCACCUUAAAAAAAAGCGUUAAAGCUUAAGUAUCAAAAACCUUAAAUAACAAUAAAAAAUCUUAAACCCCUAAAAAUAAUAGGCCCUUCCAUGCAACCAUAGAAGAGAUAAUGCUAAAAUGAGUAAUAAGAGGACCCUGAUCCUCUCCCCCUCCCUUGUGUAUAUCAGAACGAACCCCCUCUGAAAAUUAACGUCCCCAAAAAGAGAGUAAUGAACAACCCCUAAAAAUAAACAAGAAAACCACCCAAAAAUUAACGUUAACCCCACACAGGAAAGAGUAAAGGAAAGACCAAAAGGAAAAGAAGGAACUCGGCAAACCCAGGCCUCGCCUGUUUACCAAAAACAUCGCCUCUUGCCCUCCCCAUAUAAGAGGUCCUGCCUGCCCUGUGAUAUAAUUUAACGGCCGCGGUAUUUUGACCGUGCAAAGGUAGCGUAAUCACUUGUCUUUUAAAUGAAGACCCGUAUGAAUGGCAAAACGAGGGCCAAGCUGUCUCCUUUUCCAAGUCAAUGAAAUUGAUCUCCCUGUGCAGAAGCAGGGAUAACCACAUAAGACGAGAAGACCCCAUGGAGCUUAAGACAAACAGCAGCUUAUGUAAAACAUCUUAAUUACAAGAACUAACAAAGUAAAACCUGCUUUUAGUCUUUGGUUGGGGCGACCGUGGAGAAACAAAAAUCCCCCAUGUGGAAAAAUAGCUAUACUAUUCUAAAAUAGAGUCACCUCUCUAAUUUUCAGAACAUCUGACCAAGAAGAUCCGGCAAAGCCGAUCAACGGACAAAGUUACCCUGGGGAUAACAGCGCAAUCCUCUUUUAGAGCCCAUAUCGACAAGAGGGUUUACGACCUCGAUGUUGGAUCAGGACAUCCUAAUGGUGCAGCCGCUAUUAAGGGUUUGUUUGUUCAACAAUUAAAGUCCUACGUGAUCUGAGUUCAGACCGGAGAAAUCCAGGUCAGUUUCUAUCUAUGAACAUUCUUUUCCAGUACGAAAGGACCAAAAAGAAGAGGCCAAUACUUAAAGCAAGCCUCCCCCUUAACUAUUGUAAUCAACUAAAUAGAUAAAAGGGCUAAAAUAAUAGUCUAAGAGUAAGACAA
rnacentral:rRNA from 1 species